UACGUAGGGGGCGAGCGUUGUCCGGAUUUAUUGGGCGUAAAGCGCGCGCAGGCGGUUGCUUAAGUCUGGUGUGAAAGCUCCCGGCUCACCUGGGAGAGGGCACCGGAGACUGGGCGACUGGAGGGCGGCAGAGGCCGGUGGAAUUCCCGGUGUAGUGGUGAAAUGCGUAGAGAUCGGGAGGAACACCAGUGGCGAAGGCGGCCGGCUGGGCCGUGCCUGACGCUGAGGCGCGAAAGCGUGGGGAGCGAACCGG
rnacentral:rRNA from 1 species